rnacentral:rRNA from 1 species
UAUGUCCUGUUUCAAAUAUAUAUAUGAAUAAUUGUACGAUUAUACAAUUGUGUUCAUAGCUAGAGUACGUAAGGAAAAGGAAAGGUUAACCGCUAUCAAA